rnacentral:misc_RNA from 1 species
AAGUCGUAACAAGGUUUCCGUAGGUGAACCUGCGGAAGGAUCAUUAACAAUUGUCCAUUUUCCUUUGCAUAUGGAUGGUUCAAAUCCAUAUCCACCUUUGUGUGCACAUCAUCGACAUGUUUGCUUUGGCAGUUUGCAGAGAGAUCCUUCACCGUUUCUCCGUGGGAGGGAAAGGGGAGAGGGAGAGGGAGAGGGAGCUUUCUCCUUGCUUUUUCUCACCUCCCUUCUUCCUCCGGCGCUGCCAGAGUUUCUUCUUCUUCUUUCACGUUGACAAACUUUUCUUGCUUUUUCUCGAAGCAA